ACUCCUACGGGAGGCAGCAGUAGGGAAUCUUCCACAAUGGGCGCAAGCCUGAUGGAGCAACACCGCGUGAGUGAAGAAGGGUUUCGGCUCGUAAAGCUCUGUUGUUAAAGAAGAACACGUAUGAGAGUAACUGUUCAUACGUUGACGGUAUUUAACCAGAAAGUCACGGCUAACUACGUGCCAGCAGCCGCGGUAAUACGUAGGUGGCAAGCGUUAUCCGGAUUUAUUGGGCGUAAAGAGAGUGCAGGCGGUUUUCUAAGUCUGAUGUGAAAGCCUUCGGCUUAACCGGAGAAGUGCAUCGGAAACUGGAUAACUUGAGUGCAGAAGAGGGUAGUGGAACUCCAUGUGUAGCGGUGGAAUGCGUAGAUAUAUGGAAGAACACCGGUGGCGAAGGCGGCUACCUGGUCUGCAACUGACGCUGAGACUCGAAAGCAUGGGUAGCGAACAGGAUUAGAUACCCUGGUAGGAUAGCG
rnacentral:rRNA from 1 species